AAUAUGUUAGAGUGUACUCUGAACUGUUGACGUUGCUCUCUCUUUUCUUUUAAAUGCAUGUUUUUCUCAGUAAAACUUAAUUACAAGUACAGUAUCAUAGAGAAGGGAACUUGUCAAUAGAUCAAGGCCAAGAUAUGUGUGUCAAGCAUUCUACGUAAAAGUAUAAAUUCGGCGUGUCGAAUAAGAUUAUUGACAAAGACAUUCAUCGACAGAAAAGAUGAAGCUGGUGUAUCUCGUCUGCCUACUUAUCUGCUUAGCGUUUGUUCGGGUAACAGUAGCAACUCGAUGCGGAAGGUAUUGUUGUGAGUACAGAACCGAUUCACCUGGCUGCGCAAGAUAUUGUCCAGGCUUUCCGUGCAAUUUUAUGAUACCACGUAGAAAGAGAGAAUCCUCGUCCUCAUUCAAAUUCAAAGAACCUAGUGCCGUUUACGAGCGAUUUAAGCAGAGAUUUAAACAUCAAUAAAAUGAUGGAGAUGAAAGUCUUUGAAAUCAACGUGAUGAAAAAAGAAUGAACUGCAUUUUCCUUAUUUCUUAAAAAUGAAUUAAAUGUUAAAUCAC